rnacentral:lncRNA from 1 species
ACAGAAUCCAUGCCAGGGUAAUUUUUUUUUUACACCAUUAUCCCUUGCACUCACUUCUGUUCCAAUUUUUCCCUCCCACCCUCCACCCCCUCCCCUAGAUGGCAAGCAGUCCUAUAUAUGUUGAAUAUAUCCUAGUAUAUCCUAGAUACAAUGUAUGUGUGCAGAUCCAAACAGUUUUCUUGUUGCACAGGGAGAAUUGGAUUCAGAAGGUAGAAGUAACCCGGGAAGAAAAACAAAAAUGCAAACAGUUUACAUUCAUUUCCCAGUGUUCUUUCUUUGGAUGUAGCUGCUUCUGUCCAUCAUUGAUCAAUUGAAACUGAAUUAGGUCUCUUUGUCAAAGAAAUCCACUUCCAUCAUAUUACAUCUUCAUACAGUAUCGUUGUUGACGUAUAUAAUGAUCUCUUGGUUCUGCUCAUUUCACUUAGCAUCAGUUCAUGUAAUUCUCUCCAAGCUUCUCUGUAUUCAUCUUGCUGGUCAUUUCUUACAGAACAAUAAUAUUCUAUAACAUUCAUAUACCACAAUUUACCCAACCAUUCUCCAAUUGAUGGGCAGCCACUCAGUUUCCAGCUUCUAGCCACUACAAACAGGGCUGCCACAAACAUUUUGGCACAUACAGGUCCCUUUCCCUUCUUUAGUAUCUCCUUGGGGUAUAAGCCCAGUAGAAACACUGCUGGAUCAAAGGGUAUGCACAGUUUGAUAACUUUUUGGGCAUAAUUCCAGAUUGCUCUCCAGAAUGGUUGGAUUCGUUCACAGCUCCAUCAACAAUGUAUCAGUGUCCCAGUUUUCCCACAUCCCCUCCAACAUUCAUCAUUAUUUUUUCCUGUCAUCUUAGCCAAUCUGACAGGUGUGUAGUGGUAUCUCAGAGUUGUCUUAAUUUGCAUUUCUCUGAUCAAUAGUGAUUUGGAACACUCUUUCAUAUGAGUGGUAAUGAUUUUAAUUUCAUCAUCUAAAAAUUGUCUAUUCAUAUCCUUUGACCAUUUAUCAAUUGGAGAAUGGCUUGGUUUCUUAUAAAUUAGUCAGCUCUCUAUAUAUUUUGGAAAUGAGGCCUUUAUCAGAACCUUUAACUGUGAAGAUGUUUUCCCAGUUUGUUGCUUCCCUUCUAAUCUUGUUUACAUUAGUUUUAUUUGUACAGAAGCUUUUUAAUUUGAUGUAAUCAAAAUUUUCUAUUUUGUGAUCAAUAAUGGUCUCUAGUUCGUCUUUAGUCACAAAUGUCUUCCUCUUCCACAAGUCUGAGAGAUAAACUAUCCUAU